AUUGAACGCUGGCGGCAGGCCUAACACAUGCAAGUCGAACGAGUGGCGGACGGGUGAGUAAUGUCUGGGAAACUGCCUGCUGGAGGGGGAUAACUACUGGAAACGGUAGCUAUUACCGCAUACCAUCGGAUGAGCCCAGAUGGGCUUAGCUAGUAGGUGGGGUAACGGCGCACGUACGCGACGAGCCCUAGCUGGGCUGAGAGGAGGACCGGCCACACGGGAACCGAGUGACGGUGCAGACGCCUACGGGAGGAAGCGGUGGGGAAUAUUGCACAAUGGGCGCAAGCCUGAUGCAGCCAUGCCGCGUGGAUGAGGAGGGCCUUAGGGUUUUAGAGUACUAUCAGCGUGGAGGGGUUACCCGCAGAAGAAGCACCGGCUAACUCCGUGCCAGCAGCCGCGGUAAUUC
rnacentral:rRNA from 1 species